UGGUGGAGUGAUUUGUCUGCUUAAUUGCGAUAACGAACGAGACCUUGAUCUGCUAACUAGCGACGCUUACCUUCACUGGUAGGUGGCACGCUUCUUAGAGAGACUGUACGUGUUGCAACGUACGGAAGCUCGAGGCAAUAACA
rnacentral:rRNA from 1 species